UAGCCUGCCGGUUCGGCCAUGCGCAGUACGUGCCAGCCGGGAGCGAGCCGGCAUGGCGUCUGCCGGGCCGACCACGGGCGGCCAUGCGCAGUGGGUGCGCACCGGGAGCGCGCGCGGGCAUGCGCAGUGCGUGCCCGCCGAGCACAAGAACGCGACUGCGCGCUGCGGCUGUCGAGAGCGAGCUCGAGGCUGGGGCUGCAGAUUUCAUAAGUAGGCAACCCCGUUUACGUUAAUUUUGUUUCUCACACGAGACAGAGAGUGCAUGUGGGGGAGAAUCAGAGAGCGAGACACAGAAUCCGAAGCAGGCUCCAGGCUCCGAGCUGUCAGCACAGAGCGCAAUGCAGGGCUUGAACCAGCCUUAUUUAAAGGAUGAAGCGACCAGGCAUUUGCAGAUGUUGGCCGGUGGGGCCGUCACCUGAAAAUCAGGUGGACGUGCUCACAAGCCGAGCGUGGGCCUGAAAAGCGAAACUUUUGUUCUUAUGUAAGUGACUGUUCCCCCCACCCUGGGUGUGCGUGUUCAGUGGCAACCCCAAAAGUUAUGUCCACGUCUCGACUUUCAAACCUGGGAAGGGGACCCUCAUUCGAAAUAGGUCUUUACAGAUGUGAUGACGUAAAGGAUCUGACAUAAGACCGUCCUCUAUCACAGUGGUCCUGUAUCCAAUGACGAUGUCCUUAGGAGAGACAGAAGAAGAGAGACAGACACAGAGGAGAAGCCACGUGAAGGCGGAGGCAGAGACAGGAGGGACCCAGCCACGAGCCCAGGGACGCCUGGAGCCCCAGAAGCUGGAAGAGGCAGGAAGGACCCUCCUCUGGAGCCUCAGGAGGGAGCACAGCCCUGCCUGGAUCUCAGUGGUCCUGCCCCGGCUGGAUCUCAGCGGUCCUGCCCCUCCUGGAUCUCAGCGGUCCUGCCCUGCUUGGAUCUCAGCGGUCCUGCCCUGGCUGGAUCUCAGCGGCCCUGCCCCUCCUGUAUCUCAGUGGUCCUGCCCCUGUGGAUCUCAGUGGUCCUGCCCCUGUGGAUCUCAGUGGUCCUGCCCCACCAGGAUCAGGAUCCCUGCCCUGCCUGGAUGUCAGACUUCUAGUCUCCAGACCUGGGAGAGCAUGAAUUCCUGUGGUUUUAUGCACCCAGGUUAUGGGAAUUUGUUAUGGAUGCCCCAGGAACUAACACCCUGGGUCCUUGUUAAAAUGGGAAGACUCUAGUGAAAUAAAACCAGGCAUCUGUGCUUUGAUCCAGCUGGUACGAGUGGGCCUCGAGGAGGCUCGAGCUACUCUGUCUAAUGAGCACACUUGGCCCAUUUUGUGUAUUUUGAACAUCGGGGGAAAGUCCAAGGAGGUCAGUCCUUCUCCCAAAGAAUGCCCGGGGAUGCCUGGUGCUAGGUCUCAUGAGAGAGCGUGAGGGUUUUGUUUGUUUUUUGUCUGUUUGUUUGUUUUGUUUUUGUUUUUGUUUUAAGAGGUAUCGGUCGGUCUUUGCUCUGUACGUGUCGUGGAAACCUAUUUCCGUUCUCCAGAGAGUGAAUCUCUGGGUUGGGGCAGGAGUGGAGGAAAAGGCCGGCUGUGUCCUCUCCUUGAGGUCGAAUGGCUGCGAUGCUCAGUGCAGCACAGGGAGCACGGGACGGACACGUGGGCACCAUCUCUGUGCCUGGGGUGCACGAGGGACGUGUGAGCCCCCUCAGGGCUCCGCCUUCUGGCCUCCAAGCACGAAACUUCCUGGAGGUGCUUUGCCUCGUUUUUAAUUCAUCGAGACUGCUUCCUGAUCUGUCAGAGGAAGGCCACAGACCUUGACAAAUACCUCUUUGUCCCGUGCUCAGCACUCGUUUGGAGAAAUAAAAGUUACAUCGAAAAAUGCCCCCUUUUCCGUUUUCAUCUCUGAUGGAAUUCUCUGCUGACCCCCUGGUUCCCCAUGGCUCCGUUUCAGGGUCUGAUGAUACGGAAAAGAAUUUUGUAUUUGGAUAAUAAAAUUUCCUUACUCGCCUUCCGCAA